GGGAGUCUGAUGGUAAGAAAAUUUCAAAUACAAGAUAUCCUUUCAGCAGAAUGGGAUGGUCGCAUUUGCGAGGCAUUUGCCUGAUGCUUUC